rnacentral:rRNA from 1 species
UACAGAGGUCUCAAGCGUUGUUCGGAUUCAUUGGGCGUAAAGGGUGUGUAGGUGGCGCGCUAAGUCGGGUGUGAAAUUUCGGAGCUUAACUCCGAAACUGCAUUCGAUACUGGCGUGCUUGAGGACUGGAGAGGAGACUGGAAUUUACGGUGUAGCAGUGAAAUGCGUAGAUAUCGUAAGGAAGACCAGUGGCGAAGGCGGGUCUCUGGACAGUUACUGACACUGAGGCACGAAGGCCAGGGGAGCAAAGCGGG